rnacentral:lncRNA from 1 species
UUGAAAAAGAGAGAUGGAGAGACAAGAGAGAAAAGAAAAGAAAAAAAGAGAAGAAGAAAGUCUUCUUCUUCUUCUUAGUUUUUGCCAUAGACAACACAUGGGAUCAAGUUGUUAUUGUUGGGAGAAGUUUUGGAGGUACGUUUUAAUUAUUGGUUUCUAUUAAAUUGUUGUGGAGAAGCAUGAUUGUAAUAGAAGUUAGAAAUCAAAGAUUUUACAUAAAUAUGCUGACAGCGAAUUAUUACAGAAAUCAUAGUAAUUUGUACAAAUUGAUUUUGAUUCUGAUUUUUGGGUAUGUUAAACUAGACAUCGUCUAGAAUGUUUGAAACUUGUUUCAAGUUAAUCGGAUAAGAUUUCAAUUAAUUAUGAUUUUUCAAAUUCAAGUCUGAAAACCUGGAAUUUAUGAUUUCAGUGAAUAACGUGAAUUACGAAAUUAUUUUUACCAUAGUUAGACUUCUUCAAAAUUAUGAAAUUUGGACCAAUGCUUUUUAUAUAUGUCUAGUAUGAUUCUGGAAAUUUUCAUGAUUUUAUGAUAAGCAAUAAAUUGUUUUGUAUUUGUAAAAGCAAGUGUGUUCAAAACAGAAAAUGUUUGACAGUAUUGAUGAUGUCUGAAACGUGAAUUAUUUUCAAUAGUUUUUGAAGGAAUUAUGUUACGAAUUAUGCUAAUCUUCUCUGUAUCGUUCCAAUUUUAUCGGAUGGGAAUCGGUCUGAUACCAUUUGAAACACCCCAGUCUGAAAUCCAAGGGCAAAUAUGUCUACAACUCACAUAUAAUUUAAAUAACUCUUUACAACUGAUAAAGAGUAUUUGUAAAGAUUUAUGUUUUGAGGGCCGAUUAUUGAGGACAUUUGAGGUUGAGCUUAGGAGUUGUUUAAAUUGAGAUAUUUGAGGACAUUACAGUUUGUGAUUGAGAUUUGAUUAUAUCUUAUGAGGCGUUAUUGAUGAUUUUAGGUUAAUGGUAUCAGUACGCAUUUGUUACAUGAGGAUGCCAAGAGGUAAGUAAACUAGACUUUAAAACGAAUCACACUAAACAAUAUAUAUGUUUGACUUGUGUGAAAAGCAUAUUUUGAUAUAUAUACGGAUAUGGAUUUAGAUGUCUUUGCCCAUGUGUUUAUGUGAUGUGUUGGCAUGUGUUGAGCGUGAUUAUGUACAUGGGCAUAUGUAUGUGUGAUGGUUCAUUGGCAUGAGCACGAAAAUGCAUUGAGUUUUCUACGAAUGAGAAAGUGGAUUUUAGCAAACAGAAUUUAUGUUUUAUGAGAUUUUGCAUUGGGGGCCACCUCUUGAAGUUGUGUGGGGGUCACCUCUUGGGACUAUGCGGGGGCCACCUCUUGAGGGCCAGGGCGCCGCAAAGUGCCACGUACAGCACAAAGUGCCACAUUGUAGGAUACGUAUUUCAUCGAAAGAAAAUAAGAAAGUUUGAAAGCGACAGAAAGAGAUUUUUAUGAAUUUAUUU